AAUUCCCUGCGAUGCAUGUGAAGGCAUACAUUUCCUUGAACCAAUAAGUUUGCUUCGGUUGUCGGGAGCUGUGGUGGGCGCGAGCAAUCCCUUUGUCGGAAUGCACCCGAAGCCACCCGAGAUGACCACCUUGUUAACAAGGUUCAAGCGGAUUCAGCUGGAACGGCAUUCGCGGGGUUCA
rnacentral:other from 1 species